rfam:Spinacia oleracea cultivar SynViroflay scaffold23153.con0002.1, whole genome shotgun sequence.
CUGCCUUAAACUAAUGAGUAAGGAAAACAAAGCGGGCGGUGAGAACCGACCGCAGCGUCUAUCAAUAUAAAUUGGUGCGCAAUUAUUUUUGGAGGGGGUAUAGGCUAGCCAAGCUGUGACGCUGCUUACUUUUGCAGAACUCGCUUGUGCAGGCCUCCCA